GCCGCUGUAGCUCAGUUGGUAGAGCAGCGCCCUCGUAAUGCGCAGGUCGUGGGUUCGUGUCCCACCAGCGGCU
rnacentral:tRNA from 1 species